UAUCAGGGAGGCCACGGGGCUGCCUCUCAACCUGUCAACUUCGUCUUCUGCCAGUACACCUUCUGGGAGGGGGCGGAGCCUACGGUGGCCCCGCCCAUGGUCAGCCCAGACACGCCACCACGCCUCGCUCCCCCGACGCCCAGUUCACCGUCCGCUUCGACCACUGCAAGGAGUAUGUGGUCCAUGUGACAGAGGAGUUUUUAGGUUCAUCGCAGACGGGGCGCUGGCCAUCGGGUGUGGGGUCACCGCUGUGCCGGGAACGGACGCUCUCUCUGGGAGCUGGACGCACUGCUGGCCAAGACACGCACACUACGAGACAGGUGGAGUGAGGUGUCUCGUCGUAUUGAGCUGUGGGUUUCUAUCCAGGAGCUGAAUGAGCAGGGGACUACUCUGAUGUAGGAUGCAGCUGGAAGACAUCGGUACUGGAGGAGUGUUCCAGCUCAGACA